rnacentral:lncRNA from 1 species
CUGCUUCUUGAUUCCAUUGUGAAAGCUUAGAGAGAGGUUAUCACAUCCCUUUGGUUUUGCAUUUCUUCUAGUGUUGAAGUUUUUCUGUGUUUCUAUCCGGAACAUCAGUUUUACUCUGUGGUUUUGCAUACAAGCUUCCGGAGUAACUCUUCCCUUCCCAAGGAUGAGGAGUUUUGGUCAACUUGGUUAGGUGUUUGUUAUGAUGAUUUGAACAUAUAGAGAUAAUAUUCUUCUAGUGUUAUUUUCGUUGUUAUUUUGUAUUUAUGAUGUGUACUCCUAAAAUGAUAUCGUCAUUGUUACAGUGGCUGGCUCGAGGACUUAUCUGGUAUGGCAUAUGGCAAGAUAAAACCGGUAAUUUGGCCUGUGGCAGGCAAGUAGAGGUUAAAACAGUAAUUUUUGCAUAUCUGUUUGUCUUUUGAUGGUGUGUCUGCUAGUGUUGUAUUUCUUAUUUUCUUUUUGUAUCUACCACUUGUGCCACACUAUGUUGGUCUCUUGUUCUGUUAAUUUACCACUUCCUUUGUUAUGAUUCUUUAGGCUAUUCUUGUCCACUGUGAUAUAUGAAUCUUCUCUCUCUCAAAUCGGUCUGUCACAACGAGGAAGCCUAAAAAAUUGUCAUUUCACAUGGAGCUCUGCAAUUAACUGUGGCAUAUAUUCGCAUUGUUGUAUUUUGAAGCAUUUGGUGAUUUUUAUUUUGACUAUGAAUUCUUCAUGUUUCUGUCUCUUGAAUUUAGUUUUUUUAACAUACUUUCCAUUCAAUUCAGCUUUGGGAUCUUUCAUGUUUUUACGUAGUAUUUUCUGCAUCUUGCUAGUCUUGGUGAUUUUGUGUUCUGCAAGAGGAACGUGAGAAAUGAAGCAUACAAGAUUCUAAAGUAUAUCUUUUCACACUCCCCUUGAAUGAGGAAUCUGGACUUAAUUUUAAUUAAGCUGCUUUGGCGCGUUUUACUUGAUCGGUCUGGUAUAGGUGGGAAGCUUAAAUUUGGUAUCAUUUAUCAUGGAGGACCAGAAUUUCCAUUUGGUUGUGACAUAUGUUCUCAUUGUUGUUAUGCUUUCAUUUGGCGAUCUCUACUUGGCUAUAAAUAUUGCAUG